rnacentral:rRNA from 1 species
UAGGGAAUCUUCGGCAAUGGACGAAAGUCUGACCGAGCAACGCCGCGUGAGUGAAGAAGGUUUUCGGAUCGUAAAACUCUGUUGUUAGAGAAGAACAAGGACGUUAGUAACUGAACGUCCCCUGACGGUAUCUAACCAGAAAGCCACGGCUAACUACGUGCCAGCAGCCGCGGUAAUACGUAGGUGGCAAGUGUUGUCCGGAUUUAUUGGGCGUAAAGCGAGCGCAGGCGGUUUCUUAAGUCUGAUGUGAAAGCCCCCGGCUCAACCGGAGAGGGUCAUUGGAAACUGGGAGACUUGGGUGCAGAAGAGGAGAGUGUAAUUCCAUGUGUAGCGGUGAAAUGCGUAGAUAUAUGGAGGAACACCGGUGGCGAAGGCGGCUCUCUGGUCUGUAACUGACGCUGAGGCUCGAAAGCGUGGGGAGCAAACAGG